rnacentral:rRNA from 1 species
AACGAACGCUGGCGGCAUGCCUAACACAUGCAAGUCGAACGAGACCUUCGGGUCUAGUGGCGCACGGGUGCGUAACGCGUGGGAACCUGCCCUUAGGUUCGGAAUAACUCCCCGAAAGGGGUGCUAAUACCGGAUAAUGUCUUCGGACCAAAGAUUUAUCGCCUUUGGAUGGGCCCGCGUUGGAUUAGCUAGUUGGUAGGGUAAAAGCCUACCAAGGCGACGAUCCAUAGCUGGUCUGAGAGGAUGAUCAGCCACACUGGGACUGAGACACGGCCCAGACUCCUACGGGAGGCAGCAGUGGGGGAUAUUGGACAGUGGGCGAAAGCCUGAUCCAGCGAUGCCGCGUGAGUGAUGAAGGCCUUAGGGUUGUAAAGCUCUUUUACCCGGGAUGAUAAUGACAGUACCGGGAGAAUAAGCUCCGGCUAACUCCGUG